GCCAGUAUGAAGCCCCUGACUUUUGCUUAGGGCAAACAUUUAAGCAGGGCAUACCCUGAUCUCAGGUUCAGGGAAGUUUGUCUGCCUGACAGGUGGCUUUGGGUCUCCGUGAGUAAUCCCUACUUAAAGGCGGACUUGUCACAAGAAAGAGUCCAGAGCUGAGUCUUACAUUCUAAGAACUUCAUAUCUUAUCAAUUACACUUCUGGGCUGCGUGCUUUCAGUCGUCACAUAUUCAAGUCACCAGUUUUGCUUGUUUAUUUGUUUGUUUGUUUCCAGUAUUGGACAGAGAGAGGUAGCAGUUCUAUUGUGUUCUGUGUUUCAGACAUAUGACUGGAUGUUUGACUUUCUGUCUCUACUUCUCCAGGUAGACCAUCAGGCUGGAUUAGUAAAUUGGAAUCCUCAUUUUGUAGUUCAAAAGUGACUUCUUCCCACUUCUAAUUGUAGCAUCAGCAUCUCAGUACAAGUUUAGUUUAUACAUAGUCUAGGAUUUCUUAACAGAAAAUAUAUUGAUACCCUCAGCUUUAGAACUGAGACAUAAAGCUUUGCUAAUUUUCAGUUCCUGUUCUUGAGGCCAUUGUAUUUGGGGAACAUCAUGUGAUUAGUAAUUGCACGUCAACUUGGUCAGGAAUGGGAUGCCCAGGAGCUGACUAAAUAGUAUGUCUUACAGUAUCUUGAAGAGUGUUCUAAAGAGCUUAGCAUCCACACUGGUGGACUAAAGGAUAUAACUCCUCCUCUGUGUGUGUGUGUGUGUGUGUGUGUGUGUGUGUGUGUGUGUGUGUGUGUGUGUGUAUGUGUGACAUCUGGCCAGUUGCUGGCUGAAUAGAAAGAGGAAUAUAGGUGAAGGUUGAUUCCUAGCUUGAUUUGGGGGAUUGAUCUGUCAGUGACAUUUUUAAUUCUCAGGCUGUCAGGCUGACUAGAUCUCCACUGUGAGCUCUACAGUUUUGAGAUUUCUUACAAACAUAACACUGACUUUACAAGUAGACACACAUAGAGAGCCACAUGUAAGUCAAGGGCUGGAAUGCAGACUGAGGAAACUGUUCCUAGGCAGUUUUGUAGCUUGAGUGUGAAAUACACUAUUGAAAAAAACAUUGUGCAUCAUAUGACUGUGUAUAGAGAACACACAUGCAGAGAGAGACAUAUAUAAUUGCUUCUAUUUCUCUUAUUUCUUUGAAGAACUCUGAAUAAUACUUAGUACUUGAAAUCUAAAAUUCAUAGUUUUCUUUAUGGAUCUGUAAGUCAGAGGCUUUGGAAGGCAAGUUACUUGCUGUAGGUCAUUCUUCAAAGGGAGGCGAAGAUAAACAUGAAGGGAAGGUGAACGUCAUGGAGUAAGUUAACACCGGACUUGUAUAGUUACAUUGGCAGGGCUCGUGUCUUUCAAAGCACUCAAUCUUUACUUCCUGAUUUCUACACAUGUCUAAAUGUUUUCAAAGGGAGUUCUAAGAACUCCAUCUGUGCCUGGUAGUAAACUAGACAAGGCUCAGACCAUUCACUGUAGCAAACAGAAGUCACUGAAACCUGGAGAUUAGAUAUAAAGGAUGUGCACUGUCAUCCACACAGUCCACAGAGUCCUGUGAAGUUUCUAUGUUGCUGGUUAUUGGAUGUUUGCUAUCCUCCAGCACCAUCAGUCACUAUCCUUGGUUCUUGUUUUGAGCCUGAACCUCAUUGAGGACCUGCUAGAAAGGCAGUCUGAGUAGAUCUCUGGUCAUAGAAGAUAACAAGAAAGAUGAGACCCAUGAAGGUAACCUAGAACUCAUGAAGGACUGAAGCCUUUGAGGAUACACUGGAUGUGCACAUGUCUUACCGUCUCCAGCCUUAGUAGCACCAGUAUCCUGCAGAGGAGCUCAAUGGUCUGAAAAUGUACAUGACUUGAGACUUGAAGAACCAUUGGUGGAGACCGAGGAGUUCCAUGUGCAGAUGAUGUCCUAUGCAGCAGGAUGAGCCAGCAGAUGACAGGCAACAUGACACUUGCUCAAUCGCAAGCGAGUGCUUGUCACAAGGAUUCUGGAUGGUGUUUUCUUCUGGAAGAUACAAGGAAACUGAACCAUUCAGCUCCUCCAAGGCUUCAGGCAUCUGCAUGGAAGGCACAGCAAGAGGAGAGACAGUGUCAGUGCAUCCACUGCUCCACC
ensembl:lncRNA